rnacentral:lncRNA from 1 species
GAAGAACUUGGGUUUUCUGGAGGAAAAAAGAUGAUGAACCAAAUGCCUGAAUUGGAUACUGGCUUAAUCAGAGAGAUAUUGCAGACUUAAGGGUCCCGCAGUGUCCUUUUUCUGCUGAGCUGCUCUGGAUGGAUGCGCAGGUCAAAGGUGCUUGGAAACACCUGGUGUGGUUUUUCACAGAACAACGUGUUGCAGAUGGACCAGAAGAUGGAGACGAUUCUGAAGAUCCUGGUGGAGCAAUUCAGAACCCAGACACCUAUGUCAGCGGAGUCGCAAUAAUGAAGAUCAGAGGUCCCGGCUUAGAGAAAGACCAAUGAUGUUGCGAGGCAUCCUUGUUCUGUCAGAUUUCCCACCUGGCCAGGAGCUGGGACUCAUGGCUGGAUAGACCAGCUCUUUCCACGUUCCUGCU